rnacentral:lncRNA from 1 species
CAGAUUCAUAAGAGCAAGCUCCAAUACCUUGCUCCACUCCCCUGCACCAUUACCCUGAACUUUGUUAAGUUGUUGGACAUUUGACUUUUAUGACACCAAUUCACAUAUGAAAAACAAGAACAUCAUUCAUCAAAGGGAGGAGAAAAAACCAGCAAAAAAAAUUUCCCAAAACCUCCAUUCGGCUAUCCCAGAAAGUAGAAACACUCACCAAAAAAAAUCCUAGCAUUUACCAUCACUAGUCCCCUCUAACACUACCCAAACCCAUCACCUAAUUAGGCAACCUCCACCAUUUUCACCAUUCACCAUAAGCCCACUAAAGCACCCCAAUCGAAACCACCUCAACAGCAAAAAUUUUUCAUAAAAGCUUCCACAGCCCCUUCGUAGCUCUCGUUGACAACCUGCAUUUAUCUUACUGUAUUAGCACUCUAUAACCACCACCAUCAGUUAAGCACCACCUGCCUUUGCCUACCCGACCAGAACACCCUAAAACCAUAAUAUCCAUUAGCAUCCAAAAAUCACCAUCACAUAAUUAAAUCCAUAGCUCAAUCAAGACACCCAUGUGAACCACCCACUACUACCCAAGCCACCAACAUGAAGUAGCGCUCAAGCUUACAGCAUCUCCACCAAACCCGAGUCCAUCCUCUAUUGGUAUCUUCAAACCAUAACUAUCACCAGCCUAAAAUAUUUAUGAGAACCAACCCCCUCAACCUAACUCUUGUUGAGCAAUCGAGAAUCAAAAACAGCAAAAAAAUCACACAUCCCUUGGAUUUUGGGAGAAGUAGUGCCAAAGAACAACCAAAUAGCAAACGAAAAUGAAAGAAAAGAAAAAAACAAACAAACAACAAUAGUUUCGAUUUUCUUUAAAGAAUAUUUUUGGGUUUGAAUAGUGGGUGAAUUUUAUUUUAGUUUGGUGUAAACGAAAAAAGGAAAAGGUCAGCCACUUUCUGAGGCGAUGGCUCGCAACAUCGGCGAUAGGGACUCACGGUGGCUUGUGAUGGUGUAGGCUUUGGGUGAUCUGAAAGGGUGGAAAAGACAAAGGGGGAAGGGGAACAACAUAUAUAAAGAUCGAACAGUGAAAGGAGGAGAUUUUAUGGUUCGAAGUUUUGGUUUAAAUUUUCAAAUCUAGAUAGAUCUAGGCCAUUUUAGAGAUCAAGAGGUUGGCGAGAAGCAGUGGGUGAAAUUUGGGACUGAAAUAAUGUCGGCCAUUAGCGACAGUCGACGACGAGUGGUAGUCUGGUCGCCGCUAGUUACCGAAAAGUAGGUUAAAGGGGCUGUCUUUUCUUGUUUGAUGAAGUGAUGAAUUUUCUUUAGAGAAGAG